UUGCUGCUAUGUCAAACCGCCCCAGGCUCAUGUUCAUGGCCUGCGGGAACAACAUGGCGGCGCACAGCAAAUCAAGGGAUGAAAAGGCGAAGCUUCUGGAGCAACAGGAGUUUUUUUCGUGCGAUGUUCCUUGAACACUUGUUUUCCUCCUGCUUUUCCACGGCGACAUCAGCAUGGAUCAGUGGCUGCUGUUGUUCUUGGAGCAGGUAGAAAAAACCCAAACAUGCUGGACAGCCUGGUAUUGUUUGUAAAGGGGAGAUACUCUUGUCAGACACUGUCGGCUGUCACAACA
rnacentral:snoRNA from 1 species